rnacentral:sRNA from 1 species
AAAAAACAUACCACUUAGACUCAACAGCAAGGGUAGCAUCAGUCCAUCCUCAAAAUAAGACCCCAAAGUGUGUAGAGCGCAACCAAAGAAAGCACAGGGAGAAGUCUGGAGGGUGGUAAAUACUCACUAGCUGGUGGGGGCAUGUUCCCUCAGCCCCUACACUGCUGACCUACUUCAGUUCCUCAACUUCCAGUUCAUCUAAACAUAAUCUGAGACUUAUCACUCUGUUUUCUUAUACUUCUGAGUCCUAAAGACGCCCAAACCUGCCAAUUACAGAGAAAACAGACCACAGAGAUGCUGAGUUUAGUGCCACACUUAGGCAGGCAAUACUGGAGUAGCAAAGACCAAUAACCUUCUCAGCUCUUGAUCAAGCCAAUUGUAGCUCAAAGUUUCCCCUUUCUCUUUCCACACAGGACCAUCUUCUGAGGCAAGAAAGCACAAACUCAAAUGCAGCUGUCCAUGAAGGGCAUCUCCAAUGUAGAUUGGUGCCUGUGUAGUGCCUUCUAAACACAAGUCCUUUGAUUUCUAGCACUAUCUAUACAGUGUCCUUCCAGAACAUAAACGUCUCUUUCUCAUGCUCAAUCCACAAUGCGUGGGCAGCCUUGGACCUCAGCAAAGACCACCAGUCCCAUCAACAAUUGCUGACAGACACACUGCCUAUCCUGGGUUCUUCUAAGACAGUGGUUCUCAACCUUCCUAAUGCUGCCACCCUUUAACACAGUUCCUCAUGUUAAGGUUAUUUUCACUGAUACUUCAUGACCGUAAUUUUGCUACUAUUAUGAAUUACAAUGUAACUUUCUGAUAUGCAUCAUUUGACCUCCAAUGGGGUUGUGAUCCACAGAUUGAGAACCCCUGUUCUAAGUCUAGUUCUUAGAGAAGGGCUGUCUAGGGCAGCACAGCACAGUGCUUCCUAGCUACUAGCUGUCUGUCUCUGCUUGCUGUCUUUGCGGCUAUCACCUUGUGAGCUUAGCUUCUGCAUUGACAUAAACACAUCACAUCAAGAUAUGGCUCCACAACCUUAACACCAAUGGGUUAUCCCACCCAUUCACAGGGACACUAUGGCCUCCCUGUUGCUUCUGCUACCACAAAAAAAGACAAAGACCACAACCAAAUGACCAAAUCCCUCAUUCAAACCUUCAGGUCAUAGCUCCUCACUGGAUGGGAUUGGAGAACUUGGAACUGAAACAAGAGUAGACAGAUCCUCGUGAGGCUGCUUAGCAUCGCCAUGUAUGGCACCUCCAGACCACAGAACUUCAUGAACCCAUCAACAUGUGCUGCCACUACCUCUACCCCAAUUCAAGAACCUCUCAUACCCCAACAGCCGGAACUGAAUGUAAGGGUAGAAGACAGGAAGACGACAAGUACAAAAAAAUCCACCACUACCAACUGGUCAGCAUCAACCACCACAUCACCGCUAAGUCAAGACACACAAAAGACACUGAUAACACUGAUAGCUUUAAGCAUGGUCUGUUGAUUGAGUGGAUUUCUCCAACUAUCGUACUCUAUCCUUCAGGCUUCUAGAGAUAUCCUCCAAAGGAAUGCUAUAUCAGAGGAGAAAUAUGGACACAAACAUGGCAAACUCUAGCCAAAUUCUGACAACUCCUCAGUCACAGGUGAGCCUGGUACCCACUUCUACACACAGAAAAGUUAUUCUAAGGACCUCAUUGAUGCUCUGACUAAUUCUGACUCAGGCGGGAAACACUAUCUUCUUGUCAUUUUCUACUUGGACACCUGAUAAUCCAUUCACCUUUCAAACAUAGGCAGAUUCUCUCUGAGUAAACACAUGCACGGUCCCUAAAGACUCGAGUGUUCUGGUUACCUGUUUCCAGUAGGCUCAUUUAAUCCUGACUGUUGUAAAGCAUCUCACUCCCCAGCACUCCUACAGUCCCCCAUGUACAAGAGGCAUACCCCAAGCAAACGCUUCCUUAGCCAAGGGAACAUCCCACCACGGGACUGGU